rnacentral:lncRNA from 1 species
CCUGUGAAAGGCCCAGGAAGAUAAACUUAUUUUAGAAUAAGUGAUAGAAAAGAAAAACCCAUUUUCUGAGGAGAAAUUCAAGCUGGCUGCAGAAAUUUGCGAUAUUAUCACUCAAUUCACAGAAGAGGAAAUAGAAGGAGAGAAACAUAGAGUGAUUUUCGUAUCUGGUAAGUAGCAGACACACAAUUUGAACUCAGGAUUUUUAGACUCUAAAUUUUUGAGAGAACCAAAAAAG